rnacentral:tRNA from 1 species
UUAUAAAGAGCUUUGGAGCAGUUUGAUUUCGACUCAAGUAUUG